rnacentral:lncRNA from 1 species
UGGUGGCCGGUGGUGCACUGGUGCGUGUGUGUGCUUGACCUAGGGUGAGAGAAAGAGGGUGAGGACUGAGGGCUGAGUAGUGAGUGCGUGUGUGAGAGAGAGGGUCUUUGGUGCAAAUUGAAAUUUUCAGGGGGUUCAAAAAAAUAUUAUAUAGGGGGGUAAGUGAGAAAUUUUUUUUCAGGGGGUUCAUCUGAACCCCUGGGUCUAACGUGGGUCCGCCCCUGGGCAUAGUGAG